rnacentral:rRNA from 1 species
AUUGCUAUUGGGGUUCGAUUUAGCCAUGCUAGUUGCACGAAUUUAGAUUCGUGGCGAAAAGCUCCGUAACACGUGGUCAAACUACCCUAUGGAUCGAAAUAACCUCGGGAAACUGAGGAUAAUGUCGAGUAGGGGUCUUCUGCUGGAAUGCUUAGACCUUGAAAUGCUCCGGCGCCAUAGGAUGUGACUGCGGCCGAUUAGGUAGACGGUGGGGUAACGGCCCACCGUGCCGAUAAUCGGUACGAGUUGUGAGAGCAAGAGCUCGGAGACGGAAUCUGAGACAAGAUUCCGGGCCCUACGGGGCGCAGCAGGCGCGAAAACUUUACACUGCACGACAGUGCGAUAAGGGAACCCCAAGUGCGAGGGCAUACAGUCCUCGCUUUUGUGUACCGUAAGGUGGUACACGAAUAAGGGCUGGGCAAGACCGGUGCCAGCCGCCGCGGUAAUACCGGCAGCUCAAGUGAUGACCGAUUUUAUUGGGCCUAAAGCGUCCGUAGCUGGCCACACAGGUCCGUUGGGAAAUCUGCUCGCUUAACGAGCAGGCGUCCAACGGAAACCUUGUGGCUUGGGACCGGGAGGCCUGGAGGGUACGUCCGGGGUAGGAGUGAAAUCCUGUAAUCCUAGACGGACCACCGAUGGCGAAAGCACUCCAGGAGAACGGAUCCGACAGUGAGGGACGAAAGCUAGGGUCUCGAACCGGAUUAGAUACCCGGGUAGUCCUAGCCGUAAACGAUGCUCGCUAGGUGUGACACUGGCUACGAGCCAGUGUUGUGCCGUAGGGAAGCCGUGAAGCGAGCCGCCUGGGAAGUACGUCCGCAAGGAUGAAACUUAAAGGAAUUGGCGGGGGAGCACUACAACCGGAGGAG